CAGCAGCCGCGGGAAUACGAAGGGGGCUAGCGUUGCUCGGAAUCACUGGGCGUAAAGGGUGCGUAGGCGGGUUUUUAAGUCAGAGGUGAAAUCCUGGAGCUCAACUCCAGAACUGCCUUUGAUACUGAAAGUCUUGAGUAUGGGAGAGGUGAGUGGAACUGCGAGUGUAGAGGUGAAAUUCGUAGAUAUUCGCAAGAACACCAGUGGCGAAGGCGGCUCACUGGCCCAUAACUGACGCUGAGGCACGAAAGCGUGGGGAGCAAACAGGAUUAGAUACCCCAGUAGUCCCUGUCUCUUAUAC
rnacentral:rRNA from 1 species